rnacentral:rRNA from 1 species
UACAGAGGCCUCGAGCGUUAGGCGGAAUCACUGGGCUUAAAGCGUGUGUAGGUGGAUGCCUAAGUACCUUGUGAAAUCCCACGGCUUAACCGUGGAAUGGCUGGGUAUACUGGGCGUCUUGAGCCACUCAGGGGCUACCGGAACAAAUGGUGGAGCGGUGAAAUGCGUAGAUAUCAUUUGGAACGCCAAUGGUGAAAACAGGUAGCUGGGGGUGUGCUGACACUGAGACACGAAAGCCAGGGGAGCAAAACGGG